UACGGAGGGUGCGAGCGUUGUCCGGAAUCACUGGGCGUAAAGGGCGCGUAGGUGGCUUCUUAAGCGUGUGGUGAAAGCUCAGGGCUCAACUCUGAGUCGGCUAUGCGAACUGGGAGGCUUGAGCACUGUAGAGGCAGGUGGAAUUCCGGGUGUAGCGGUGGAAUGCGUAGAGAUCCGGAAGAACACCGGUGGCGAAGGCGGCCUGCUGGGCAGUAGCUGACACUGAGGCGCGACAGCGUGGGGAGCAAACAGG
rnacentral:rRNA from 1 species